ACGAACGCUGGCGGCGUGCCUAAUACAUGCAAGUCGAACGAGAGCGACCGGUGCUUGCACUGGUCAAUCUAGUGGCGAACGGGUGAGUAACACGUGGGUAACCUGCCCAUCAGAGGGGGAUAACAUCCGGAAACGGAUGCUAAAACCGCAUAGGUCUUCGAGCCGCAUGGCUUGAAGAGGAAAAGAGGCGCAAGCUUCUGCUGAUGGAUGGACCCGCGGUGCAUUAGCUAGUUGGUGAGGUAACGGCUCACCAAGGCCGUGAUGCAUAGCCGACCUGAGAGGGUGAUCGGCCACAUUGGGACUGAGACACGGCCCAAACUCCUACGGGAGGCAGCAGUAGGGAAUCUUCCGCAAUGGACGCAAGUCUGACGGAGCAACGCCGCGUGAGUGAAGAAGGUUUUCGGAUCGUAAAACUCCGUUGUUAGAGAAGAACAAGUGCUAGAGUAACUGUUAGCGCCUUGACGGUAUCUAACCAGAAAGCCACGGCUAACUACGUG
rnacentral:rRNA from 1 species